AGUCGACUCCUACGGGAGGCAGCAGUGGGGAAUAUUGCACGAAUGGGGAACCCUGAUGCAGCCAUGCCGCGUGUGUGAAGAAGGCCUUCGGGUUGUAAAGCACUUUCAGUCGUGAGGAAGGUAGUGUAGUUAAUAGCUGUAUUAUUUGACGUUAGCGACAGAAGAAGCACCGGCUAACUCCGUGCCAGCAGCCGCGGUAAUACGGAGGGUGCGAGCGUUAAUCGGAAUUACUGGGCGUAAAGCGCAUGCAGGUGGUUUGUUAAGUCAGAUGUGAAAGCCCGGGGCUCAACCUCGGAAUUGCAUUUGAAACUGGCAGACUAGAGUACUGUAGAGGGGGUAGAAUUUCAGGUGUAGCGGUGAAAUGCGUAGAGAUCUGAAGGAAUACCGGUGGCGAAGGCGGCCCCCUGGACAGAUACUGACACUCAGAUGCGAAAGCGUGGGGAGCAAAACAGGAUUAGAUACCCUGGUAG
rnacentral:rRNA from 1 species